rnacentral:rRNA from 1 species
GAUAAACGCUGGCGGCGUGCUUAACACAUGCAAGUCGAACGAAGUUUUUCUUUCGGGAGGAACUUAGUGGCGGACGGGUGAGUAACGCGCGGGUAACCUGCCCUGUACAGGGGGACAACAGCUGGAAACGGCUGCUAAUACCGCAUAAGCCCUUAGCACUGCAUGGUGCAUAGGGAAAAGGAGCAAUCCGGUACAGGAUGGACCCGCGUCUGAUUAGCCAGUUGGCAGGGUAACGGCCUACCAAAGCGACGAUCAGUAGCCGAUCUGAGAGGAUGUACGGCCACAUUGGGACUGAGACACGGCCCAGACUCCUACGGGAGGCAGCAGUGGGGAAUAUUGCACAAUGGAGGAAACUCUGAUGCAGCGACGCCGCGUGAGUGAAGAAGUAUUUCGGUAUGUAAAGCUCUAUCAGCAGGAAAGAAAAUGACGGUACCUGACGAAGAAGCACCGGCUAAAUACGUG